UCUGACGGAGCAACGCUGCGUGAACGAAGAAGGUCUUCGGAUUGUAAAGUUCUGUGAUUCGGGACGAAAGGGUUUGUGGUGAAUAAUCAUAGACAUUGACGGUACCGAAAAAGCAAGCCACGGCUAACUACGUGCCAGCAGCCGCGGUAAUACGUAGGUGGCAAGCGUUGUCCGGAAUUAUUGGGCGUAAAGCGCGCGCAGGCGGUUUCUUAAGUCCAUCUUAAAAGCGUGGGGCUCAACCCCAUGAGGGGAUGGAAACUGGGAAGCUGGAGUAUCGGAGAGGAAAGUGGAAUUCCUAGUGUAGCGGUGAAAUGCGUAGAGAUUAGGAAGAACACCGGUGGCGAAGGCGACUUUCUAGACGAAAACUGACGCUGAGGCGCGAAAGCGUGGGGAGCAAACAGGAUUAGAUACCCUGGUAGUCCACGCCGUAAACGAUGGAUACUAGGUGUAGGAGGUAUCGACCCCUCCUGUGCCGGAGUUAACGCAAUAAGUAUCCGCCUGGGAGUACGAUCGCAAGAUUAAACUCAAAGGAAUUGACGGGGCCCGCACAAGCGUGGAGUAUGUGGUUUAAUUCGACGCAACGCGAGAACCU
rnacentral:rRNA from 1 species